CCAAUAGCGUAUAUUAAAGUUGUUGCAGUUAAAAAGCUCGUAGUUGAAUUUCGGGAUCAGUACGCUGGUCGUGCCUCCGGUAUGUACUGGUGUCACUGGUUCCUCCCUUCUGAAGAACCAUCAUGCUAUUAAUUUAGUGUGGUGGGAAAUCAGGACUGUUACUUUGAAAAAAUUAGAGUGUUUAAAGCAGGCUCACGCUUGAAUACAUUAGCAUGGAAUAAUGAAAUAGGACGUUGAUCCUAUUUUGUUGGUUUCUAGGAUUGACGUAAUGAUUAAUAGGGAUAGUUGGGGGCAUUAGUAUUCAAUUGUCAGAGGUGAAAUUCUUGGAUUUAUUGAAGACUAACUACUGCGAAAGCAUUUGCCAAGGAUGUUUUCAUUAAUCAAGAACGAAAGUUAGGGGAUCGAAGACGAUCAGAUACCGUCGUAGUCUUAACCAUAAACUAUGCCGACUAGGGAUCGGAUGAUGUUAAUUUUUUAAUAACUCAUUCGGCGCCUUACG
rnacentral:rRNA from 1 species